GGUCUGGGUCUGCAGUUCUCGACCUAGAGGUGGCAACAUGGUCUCCAGGGCGCAACUCCUCUGCCUCCUGCUGCUCUGUGCCCGCGAAUCCAUGGGGAACGUGGUGGUGACUCAGUCUCCAGAAUUCGUGACGGAGUCUCCAGGAGGCAGCGUCACUAUCAACUGCAAACUCAGUUCUAGUAGUUCCUAUGUUGCCUGGUACCAACAGAAACCCGGACAAACUCCAAAACUCCUUAUCUAUGAUACCUCUAAGCGUCCCUCUGGGGUCCCUGACCGGUUCAGUGGCAGUGGGUCUGGGACUGACUUCACCUUCACCAUCAGCAGAGUGGAAGUCGAUGAUGCUGCAGAUUAUUACUGUCAGAAAUCUUGGGGUAGCCCUCCCACAAUGCUCCAGCCCUGCACAAAAACCUCCCUGAACCAUUUGAUUUCUAGUGACAAAGUCUUGCAGGGGACAUUUGUGGAUUGUGGGAGUGGGGAGCAGAUCGAGGAGCAUAAGCCUGGUUACGAGAUCUCUUCCCUGGAGUUGACCCUCGUGGCAGGGGGACAGAGUCUCUGGCACGAGAUUUACCCCUGA